AUACAGAGGGGGCAAGCGUUGUUCGGAAUUACUGGGCGUAAAGGGCGCGUAGGCGGCCCGCUAAGUCGAACGUGAAAUCCCCGAGCUCAACUCGGGAACUGCGUCCGAUACUGGCGGGCUUGAAUCCGGGAGAGGGAUGCGGAAUUCCGGGUGUAGCGGUGAAAUGCGUAGAUAUCUGGAGGAACACCGGUGGCGAAGGCGGCAUCCUGGACCGGCGUUGACGCUGAGGCGCGAAAGCUAGGGGAGCAAACG
rnacentral:rRNA from 1 species